rnacentral:rRNA from 1 species
AACUUUUAACAACGGAUCUCUUGGUUCUGGCAUCGAUGAAGAACGCAGCGAAAUGCGAUAAGUAAUGUGAAUUGCAGAAUUCAGUGAAUCAUCGAAUCUUUGAACGCACAUUGCGCUCCCUGGUAUUCCGGGGAGCAUGCCUGUUCGAGCGUC